rnacentral:rRNA from 1 species
AUCUUCCACAAUGGACGAAAGUCUGAUGGAGCAACGCCGCGUGAGUGAAGAAGGUUCUCGGAUCGUAAAGCUCUGUUGUAAGGGAAGAACAAGUACAGGAGUAACUGUCUGUACCUUGACGGUACCUUACCAGAAAUCCACGGCUAACUACGUCCAAGCAGCCGCGGUAAUACGUAGGUGGCAAGCGUUGUCCGGAAUUAUUGGGCGGAAAGCGCGAGCAGACGGUCCUUUAAGUCUGAUGUGAAAGCCCACGGCUCAACCGUGGAGGGUCAUUGGAAACUUGAGGACUUGAGUACAGAAGAGGAAAGCGGAAUUCCACGUGUAGCGGUGAAAUGCGUAGAGAUGUGGAGGAACACCAGUGGCGAAGGCGGCUUUCUGGUCUGUAACUGACGCUGAGGCGCGAAAGCGUGGGGAGCAAACA